rnacentral:rRNA from 1 species
UACGAAGGGUGCAAACGUUGCUCGGAAUUAUUGGGCGUAAAGCGCGCGUAGGCGGCCCGAUAAGUCCGCUGUGAAAACUCGGGGCUUAACCCCGAGCCUGCAGUGGAUACGGGGCAGACUAGAGGUAGGUAGGGGAGAAUGGAAUUCCUGGUGUAGCGGUGAAAUGCGCAGAUAUCAGGAGGAACACCGGUGGCGAAGGCGGGUCUCUGGGCCGAUACUGACGCUGGAGGAGCGAAAGCGUGGGGAGCAAACAGG